AGCGCCGCUCCGGCUGCACCGCGCUCGCUCCGAGUUUCAGGCUCGUGCUAAAGCUAGCGCCGCCGUCGUCUCCCUUCAGUCGCCAUCAUGAUUAUCUACCGGGACCUCAUCAGCCAUGGUCAGUAGGACAGAAGGUAACAUUGAUGACUCGCUCAUUGGUGGAAAUGCCUCCGCUGAAGGCCCCGAGGGCGAAGGUACCGAAAGCACAGUAAUCACUGGUGUCGAUAUUGUCAUGAACCAUCACCUGCAGGAAACAAGUUUCACAAAAGAAGCCUACAAGAAGUACAUCAAAGAUUACAUGAAAUCGUAAGUGAUACUGGCAGUACCUAGCUGAUGUCUAGAAUCUUACAGGAUUUAAAGACUGGCUAACUUUUGAGGUUCUUUCGCAGUGGAUAUACUUUUGUGAAAGUCCUUGCUUUUUUAUUAAUGAGUUCACUGAAAAGAGUGGUUGCUUUUCUAUAAUAGCAUACUGAAGGCUGCAGUCUGUUUCCGUUUAGAAUUAGAAUAGUAUUUUGAAAAUAGUCAACAAGAAAUGUAAACAUUCUUGAAAGAUACUUUCUGUGAACUAGUAAUUUCUUAACAGCUGGUUGUCUUUUUCAGUGUUUUCUUUUUUUAAGCUUGGAUAUUUUUCACUUUAAAAAUUGAUUUUACUGAAAAUUCAAUACUUCAACCUGUUAAUGAAAUGUUGUUUUAGAAUCAAAGGGAAACUUGAAGAACAGAGACCAGAAAGAGUAAAACCUUUUAUGACAGGGGCUGCAGAACAAAUCAAGCACAUCCUUGCUAAUUUCAAAAACUACCAGGUAAAUACCUUAAGUAUCUGGAUCAAAGGAUUGUACAAUUUUAACUGCAAGAGCAAAAAUUAAGUUGAUUAAUCUUCAAUUCUAUACUAGUAUUCCAGGUGUAGAAAGUGGCUUUCCCAGCUCUCAGGUGUUUCCAAAUCUUGUCUUCUGAUUGAAAAUUUGCUUCCCAGAUGACAUUUCUCAGUUUUUCUUUUCGUGAAUUGCUUAACCACAUAAGUGUUCUUUCAGUUUUCUGCUUACAAUUCUAAUGUGUCUCAUUGCUACUGGUCCUCCUUCUAAUGUAUCUGAGCUUGUUAAGUCUACUUUUGAAAAAUGUCAGUGGCUUUCCCUUUCCUCUGAUUUUCCAGCUUCAUGCAUCCCCUGGCCAUAAGAUACUUCCAGACUGUAUGAUAUAUUCUAUCACUGUCAGCCUUAUGUUCCCUGUGGGUAACUAUAUAAGCACGCUUUAGGGUUUGGGAUUGUAUUUAGGACUGAGAGAGUAAAGGUUUCCUGAAAGGCUAGUGUUCCUGGAUUGCUCUGUACAUUAUUUUUCUAUUUAGGUCACUAUUAAGGUGCCUUAAUCUAGUGAACAGAUGUCUAUGAUAAGUGAGCAUCAGAGCUUUUGGGUACUGGAGUUUUGAUUUUUAUGGUGGCCUAAACCUUCCCUUGUACUGUAGUUUGAGUGGCAUGUAUUUGUAUGUAAUGGUCUAAUUCUAGGUAUCUUGUUGCUUCCCAAGUUCUUUAUUGGUGAAAACAUGAAUCCAGAUGGCAUGGUUGCUCUAUUGGACUACCGUGAGGAUGGUGUGACCCCAUAUAUGAUUUUCUUUAAGGAUGGUUUAGAAAUGGAAAAAUGUUAACAAAUUUGGCAAUUAUUUUGGAUCUAUCACCUGUCAUCAUAACUGGCUUCUGCUUGUCAUCCACACAACACCAGGACUUAAGACAAAUGGGACUGAUGUCAUCUUGAGCUCUUCAUUUAUUUUGACCGUGAUUUAUUUGGAGUGGAGGCAUUGUUUUUAAGAAAAACAUGUCAUGUAGGUUGUCUAAAAAUAAAAUGCAUUUAAACUCA
rnacentral:sRNA from 1 species